rfam:Oryza rufipogon genomic scaffold, chr03
GACAUGCCCAAUGGUAGAUGGAGCCCGAGUUUGACCGUCUAUCUUAUUUAAAAUUAUUUUAUGAUUAGUAUUUUUAUUUUUAUUAGAUGAUAAAAUACGAAUAGUACUUUAUGUGUGACUUAUUUUAUUUAGUUUAUUCAGAAAAUUUUCAAAUAAAACGGACAGCCAAACGUUGGAUAAGAAAAACCAUAACUACACUUAAA